UCUCUGUAUAUAUUAGAGAAUAAAUUUGUAUUUGACAAAUUUUGGGCUAUAGAUUUAGAUACGAGAAAUCUAUAUAAUUGUGUAAAGACGUGAAAAUUCACAGAUAAAUUAGCUACUGUACUUAUUUGAGUACUAUAAGUUGUUUUAGAAACAAAUGUUUUAUUGCUCUGAUUCUUUUCAUAAUUUGAAGAAGUUGGCGCCACUUAUCUUACAAUAUAAUUGUUACCAACCUUAAAGUACGACUCUGUACUUAAUGAAAUAAAUUAACACAAAAAAUUGAAAACUUAUAAUUCUUCUCUCUACCGAAGAAAAGAAUUAUAUAAUGCAUUUUAGUAUCGAAUAAUAAUUUGUGUUAUUUGAAAAUUUUGAAAUUGAUGCGUAUGAAAAUUUGUUUCGCAGAAGUUUGCAAGGCUGAGUUUGAAACGUUGCUUGACCCUUCGGCCAUAAAAGUAAAGUGCAAUUUUUCGUAGUGUGUUAAUCAAGUUUUUAACGGUCAAAUGGCACAAACUAUACGCAAAAUCACUAAUAUCUAACAAAGGUGUCUCUGCACGUUGCAUCAAUGGAGCCAGUGUUGCAGUUUACAGAAUGCAAUCAGGAAAAGAUAACCGAAACACAAUUUUAUUGAACAGUAACGACGUUCAUCGCUCGACUGCAAUUAAGGAAAUGCAGGUCAUGAACCCAGAUAGAAAUUUAUUUUGUUCUCUAAAUGUUCCAAUAAGUACUUAAGAACAAUCUAGUAUCAAAUCGAUACUUCCUAUCGUAGUAUACUUUCUACCAUCUAUGAACGGGUUUGUGGCGGAUGGAAAAAGGAAAAUAAGAAAAAGCUCGGUGGUCGUGGACGCAGAAUGAUGCGUCGCGUCGCGUCGUGACGUAAGAGUCCCGGAUUCGCGGUCGCUAUAUUUAGGCUGCCCGGGCCCCGGUCCGUUUUUAGUUGGAAACAGGUGGACAUCCAAGCUGUGCGAAGGCAGCAUAGUCGACGAGUCUCUGGCUGACUUUGACCGAUUUUCGCGAACCCCCCCCCCCCCCUCCCCCUUCCUCAUCGGAAUGGGCUGCUUUAUGCCCGCGACGACGAUAAUGACCCAUAAAACAACACGUGCCCACCCUUCGGUCCAUAGGAUUUCAUGCGCGGCUAAUUAGAGAAUUUAUUUGUUCAAAUCGUUCAAGAUCAUCUGGACUCAUUUAAAAGUUUAUUGCUUAAGAGUGUUUCGAUAAUUUGAUAGUUUAUAUGCCUGCAAGGUGGAUAUCAAGGGAAUUUAUUAUUCCGAGAGAGUCGAAGAUGAAAUACCUUGUAUUCAGAAUUCGCUGGAAUUAAUUUCCUGUUUGAGAAGAUAUCUGAUAGUUGGAGGAUGUUUAUAUACACAAGAAACGGAGAUUCUACAGGGUAAUUCAGUGAUGGCAAAUUUUUUAAUCACGUGCAAGAUGAAAAGAGUAUUAUAUGGUUCGUAAUAUUUGGAAUGUCAGGAAGUAUGGUAAAUAAAAAAUAUAGCGUUCUAAUAAUAACGAUAGUUUAGGAACGAGCAAGUUUUCCGAGAACUUGUUUGGAAUUUCCCAAAGGUUCCCAUGUUUCUCAUUUUUCGCGCUAAAUCACUUCCAAAAAAUUUUCAUAGUUAAGCUUUUAUCAUUCUAUUCGUAAAGCUAGUUGCCCCUGAUCAACUAAUAACUCGAACUUUUGUUAAAUUCCGGUUACAAAUAUUAACUAACCAACGAAUCGAAUUUAUCUUUUUAUUGAUCAACAUAACUUUUGCCCAACUCUUCUAUCUAACGAACACGCGUGUAAUCUAGAUGACUGUUAAAAAUAAGCAAGACGAGUUCAAGCAAAUCAUCCGGGGCGUAGGUCCAAAAACUGAAAAUACGUGCCGGCCCACGGUGUGACUUUUCGUUUGCUGGCUUACAACCGCGUUAGGUCCUCACCCAGCGCGUUCCACUUCCGUGCGUCAUCGUGGACGCGUAAUACACGUUUAAAUGACGGCUUUAGGAACUGAAUAAUCAGAGACGUAUGCCAGACUACCGGCCAAACACGUGGAUCAACGUCGAUGACAGCUGAUAGCGUUAGGUGCCCCGACACCUGUUACUUCUUUGUUUCAUUGUUCCCUGCCAGAACGAUCGCGUCAAAAUGUAUCACGGUUAAGAGUGUUCAAGGUUUAACUGUGAUCUACGAAUUCUCUAGCUAUGUGGCGGUUUCGCGUGAUCCGAUGAAGGGUGGGCGAGAAUGUAACAGAGGCAAAGGAAACUUUCGCACAUCGGCCUUCAAUGUUGAAACUUUAACUAUCAACCGAAGACAGCCAGCUCGACACGUUGCGGUGAAACGCUAGAAACCAUUUAACCCAGAAAAUAUCAAACGUCUGGACACAUCAAAAGUUACCUCUAACGCUGCUCGAGUUGAGAUUCACAGAAGCUCUUUAGAAAUCAAUAACGUUAGCUCGAUGGAGAUACCAAACUUUGUCGGUUUUCGACGAAUAAUUAAUUGAGAAAUCUCACUUUGCUUGAAAUUUGUAUCGUUGAUAUAUAUAUAUAUAUUUUUUGGUAGAGUAUUUGUUUAGCACCUUUAAUUUUUUUAACGAAUUCUCAGUGAAAUUUAAAUAAAAAAUAGUGGAGAGUAUGAUGUACUAUACAGAAACCUGUAUAGAUACGUACGAACGUAGUAAGUAGAUUCAGAGUGCAAUUGGUCAGACAAACGAAAUCUGAUACUAAAGUAAACCAUUUUAUGAUGUAAAAUGAUUACAAAUACGAGGCAAGUGAUAAACAUGAAGUAAAUUAGAGUUUGCUUAUAAAUAUUGGACCUAGCUAUGAAACAAAUCGAACAAAUAAAUAAACGUGUUCAAUUCUCUUCUUUCAAGACCACGCUCUCCAAUAUUAAAAAAAAAAAAAAAAAAUAAACAACAUUUCAAGGAUGAUAGUAACGCAGUAUAUUUAAUCCUCAACUUGUAGGAUGAAAUUCGUGCUUGUUACAUAAUCGGCAUAUUGAAAAAAAAAAUUGUCGGAAUUAAAAAAUUCAGACCCGGAUACUUAUUUAUACGUUUUGCAAUAUAAAAUGUAUGUUAUUCUCUUAUGGAGAAAAUACUUGUAUAAUAUAUAAACUUUGCAAGGUAUAACGUUGAUUAUUAUAGUCUUCUAACAUGUUCAAAAAUUUAUUCAAUUUAAAUCGCGCGAAUUUAAUAAGUAUAAGGAGAACGGAGAAACGUAGACGACGGACGUUGAUUAUAAUUGUUUUGAUUCAGAAUUGAAGUUUUGUCACGGCUAGAAAGUCGCCUUUUUGCGGCGUUAUAUUUAGCCCGAUGUGGCCGAAAGUAGUGACGCCUUAAUUCGGUCAGACGCGUAGUUUAGCUCGUCAAGCGGCGCGAGGCGCCUCUUGGCACUUGUGACGUAUUCUAUGAUAUUAAGAGAAUGAGCAAUCUGGAGCGUGUCACUUUAGCCGUUUAUAAUUUUAUACGCGUUACAUCGUCCCAAAAAUUUAUGACACUGUAUCGCUACUCGCAACUUUUUUCUCUAACGUCAGCACUGAACAAAUUCUUAUAAUCCUGCGCAUUUUCUACGUCGUUAUUCGUUUAAAUAACUUGCUUUUCCACUUCCUAACCCUGAUAUUUCCAUUAGCCAUAAUCCUCUAUGAGAACGAGGUUUGGUCCAACAAAAGGUUCCUAAGCUACUCCGAGUAUUCGACUAUUUCCUAAAAACAAUCGUUGAAAACGUUUUAGAAACUAUCAGAGUACGUGGUGAUUUUUAUUAACACGUUAAUUUCUGUCCGUGAGGAAUAGACGAUACUCGGAAAGUGGAUCAGUCGAGAUGAUGCAUACGUUUGCUGGGAGAAAAGUGUUUCGCGUGCUUCGACACUGUGCUAGAAUUUGUAGAAAUAGAACUAUGCUAAAUAGUUGUACUAUAGUACCAAAUAGGUUGAAAAAUAUGGGUCGACGACCAGCUCUCAUUUCCACAUUUUGUAGGAACCUAAUUAUCCUUAAUCUAUUAGACAAUUGACAGUGUCAGUUUAUGAAUAUCAAUCUCAACUUAAUUUAAUAGAACGAAAUUCUGUAUAAUGGCCUGUAUA